UACGUAGGGGGCGAGCGUUGUCCGGAUUUAUUGGGCGUAAAGAGCGUGUAGGCGGCCAGGUAGGUCUGCUGUGAAAACUCGAGGCUCAACCUCGAGACGUCGGCGGAAACCAUCUGGCUAGAGUCCGGAAGAGGAGAGUGGAAUUCCUGGUGUAGCGGUGAAAUGCGCAGAUAUCAGGAGGAACACCUGUGGCGAAAGCGGCGCACUGGACCACAACUGACGCUGAGGCGCGAAAGCUAGGGGAGCAAACAGG
rnacentral:rRNA from 1 species